GCCCAGGUGGUGAAAUUGGUAGACACAAGGGAUUUAAAAUCCCUCGCUAGCAAUAGCGUGCCGGUUCGAGUCCGGCCCUGGGCACCA
rnacentral:tRNA from 1 species